AAGUCGUAACAAGGUUUCCGUAGGUGAACCUGCGGAAGGAUCAUUAACAAAUCAUGUAGUUGGGGAGGGGUAAAUCCCGCCUCGGCUAAUAUGUUCGAGGCAGCAAUGCUUCGCGACAUGCACGCUUGUCUUGUUUGUCAGAGUAAAUGUAUCACAUAAUUGAGACAACUUUUAACAAUGGAUCUCUUGGCUCUU
rnacentral:misc_RNA from 1 species